CCCUGCUAUGUUAAUAGCUUGCUAGACCCUGCAAGAGCCUCCUGUAUGUGAUUAAAGUUCAAUUUAGAGAUUGAGAUACAAUUAUUUAAGGUAAAUUACAUCUGUUUGAAAGUGAAACCAGUUUUUUUUUUCAUGCAGGCUCUGUCAAUCAUAGCCAGGGGAGGUGUGGCUAGGGCUGCAUAAACAGAAAUAAAGUGAUUUAACUCCUAAAUGACAGUGAACUGAGCAGUGAAAUUGCAG
rnacentral:lncRNA from 1 species